CAAAACGACUCUCGGCAACGGAUAUCUCGGCUCUCGCAUCGAUGAAGAACGUAGCGAAAUGCGAUACUUGGUGUGAAUUGCAGAAUCCCGUGAACCAUCGAGUCUUUGAACGCAAGUUGCGCCCGAAGCCGUCAGGCCGAGGGCACGCCUGCCUGGGCGUCACGCA
rnacentral:rRNA from 4 species